rnacentral:rRNA from 1 species
UACGGAGGGGGCUAGCGUUGUUCGGAAUUACUGGGCGUAAAGCGCACGUAGGCGGAUUUGUAAGUCAGGGGUGAAAUCCCGGGGCUCAACCUUGGAACUGCCUUUGAUACUGCAAGUCUUGAGUCCGAUAGAGGUGAGUGGAAUUCCUAGUGUAGAGGUGAAAUUCGUAGAUAUUAGGAAGAACACCAGUGGCGAAGGCGGCUCACUGGAUCGGUACUGACGCUGAGGUGCGAAAGCGUGGGAGCAAACAGG